rnacentral:tRNA from 1 species
GUGUACUUAGCCCAGUGUUUAGAGUUUCCGCCUAGUGUCUGGAGGUUGCAGGUUCAAAUCCUGCAGUGUACA